rnacentral:tRNA from 1 species
GUCGGUAUAGCUCAGUGGUAGAGCCCAUGCUUAGCAUGCAUGGAGCCUUAGGUUCAAUCCCCAGUACCUCCA